CAAAAGGGCCGUUUCCUGGAGGGGGGAGCUGGAUAAACGGGCGCCGUGGAAAACGCAUAUUUCCUGAGGCAUCCGAUGCGGUUCGUCGGUGCCGGCCAGGCUGGAAACAGGCGGUGGUGGCGUCUGACGUCACGGGCGGGCGACCGGCGUGAAGCCGAGGGGCCGCAGGUACUGGGCCCGCCACCCACGGGGAAGGAGUGAGGGCGUGCGGAUCGGGAUCACCGGGGACCCCCGACACCGCCGCUCUCCGCCUUCCAAACGCGUGCUGCUCCUCGGUGUAGCUGGAGCAGGGGACGGUGAUCUAUCCGUGGGCUUUGCGGCGAGCAGCGUGCAGCAUUCCGGGAACAUGGCUGAUGUGUGAAUAGGAAAAGAUUUACAGUGUUACAAUGCUUAUGUCUUGUGUAUUUUAAUGUUAUUUGUUACCUGUAUUCUUUGUUUAAGUGACAUGCCUUCUUCGUUUAUUUAACCUGUAUUUCUUGUGUAUUUACUGAUGGUAUCCUAUUCUGAGUAAAGCGCACGUGGGCGAGAGGGUCACUUUGGUCCUCGCAGAGCAGUACGGCGUCUAAAUAAAUACUUUCGAAACUUAA